rnacentral:misc_RNA from 1 species
AAUUUUAAAGGCAAUAGCAAUCCAAAUAAUACCAUAAUCCAAUGAGUUGAAUAAAAGGAGGUGGCUAAUGAGACGAUAGUAUCACUAACAGGAGACAAAAUCCGGUACAUUAUAUUUUGCUUAAGACAUUUCAAUCAAGACACAGAUUUAAAGAGAGACAUACAUCCCACUAGAACAGAGCAUACUACAACGAAGGAGGUAUCGAAUCCCAAACGAUUGAGAGGAGAGGGAGAAAGAAACACUCAAAAACCAAAAUAACAACUAGAAACGAGAGGAAAAACAGUAGAGUAAACGAAACAAUGUAACCCAUAAUCAAGCGCCCUAUCCAACUCGAAAUAAUAGAUUUUCAUCUAUCCAUAAUGUAAAAUAAAAAGAAUAUGCAGUCAAGGGAAGUCGAAAUCACCUAUGGAAGAGGACUUUGAGCUUCGCUGCUGAAUCACUACUGUUACAGUGAAUCAUUCUAACAAUGAAAGAACAAGAACUUGAGACCUAAGGGGAAAGCAUCA